GCGGAGGAAAAGAAACCAACAGGGAUUGCCCCAGUAACGGCGAGUGAAGCGGCAACAGCUCAAAUUUGAAAUCUGGUCCCCUCUGGGGGCCCGAGUUGUAAUUUGAAGAGGAUGCUUCUGGCGAGGCGCCGGCCGAGUUCCCUGGAACGGGACGCCGUAGAGGGUGAGAGCCCCGUACGGCCGGAUGCCGAGCCUCUGUGAAGCUCCUUCGACGAGUCGAGUAGUUUGGGAAUGCUGCUCAAAAUGGGAGGUAAACCCCUUCUAAAGCUAAAUACUGGCCAGAGACCGAUAGCGCACAAGUAGAGUGAUCGAAAGAUGAAAAGCACUUUGAAAAGAGAGUUAAACAGCACGUGAAAUUGUUGAAAGGGAAGCGCUUGCGACCAGACUUGCGCCCGUCGGAUCAGCCGUCCCUCGUGGGCGGCGCACUCCGGCGGGCUCAGGCCAGCAUCGGUUCGCCUGGCGGGAGAAAGGCGGCGGGAAUGUGGCUCUGCGGAGUGUUAUAGCCCGCCGCGUAAUACCACCGGGCGGACCGAGGACCGCGCGUAUGCAAGGAUGCUGGCGUAAUGGUCGUCAGCGACCCGUCU
rnacentral:sRNA from 1 species